GUUGAUGGGAAUGUUGUUUGGCUCGAGGCCAUCUAGGUUUGGUUUUUGAAAAAUUUUAAGACAGAGAUAUAUUAGCCCUAUAUGAUCUCGGACCAGGCUUCAUUCCCGUCAGC
rnacentral:pre_miRNA from 1 species